rnacentral:rRNA from 1 species
AGAGUUUGAUCCUGGCUCAGGAUGAACGCUAGCGGCAGGCUUAACACAUGCAAGUCGAACGGUAAGGCCCUUUCGGGGGUACACGAGUGGCGCACGGGUGAGUAACGCGUAUGCAACCUACCUUGAACUGGAGGAUAGCCCUAGGAAACUGGGAUUAAUACUCCAUAAUAUUAUAAUUUCACCUGUUAUUAUAAUUAAAGCUCCGGCGGUUUAAGAUGGGCAUGCGUGCCAUUAGUUUGUUGGUGAGGUAACGGCUCACCAAGACUACGAUGGCUAGGGGGUCUUAAAGGAUGGUCCCCCACACUGGUACUGAGACACGGACCAGACUCCUACGGGAGGCAGCAGUGAGGAAUAUUGGUCAAUGGGCGCAAGCCUGAACCAGCCAUGCCGCGUGCAGGAUUGACUGCCCUAUGGGUUGUAAACUGCUUUUCUGAGGGAAGAAACCUCCGAUCGUGAUCGGAGCUGCCGGUACCUCAGGAAUAAGCAUCGGCUAACUCCGUGCCGGCAGCUGCGGUAAUACGGAGGAUGCAAGCGUUAUCCGGAUUUAUUAGGUUUAAAGGGUGCGUAGGCGGGGUAUUAAGUCAGUGGUGAAAUCUUGCCGCUUAACGGUAAAAUUGCCAUUGAAACUGAUAUUCUUGAGUGUAGUUAGGUGGGCGGAAUGUGUAGUGUAGCGGUGAAAUGCUUAGAUAUUACACAGAACACCAAUUGCGAAGGCAGCUCACUAAACUAUCACUGACGCUGAUGCACGAAAGCGUGGGGAGCGAACAGGAUUAGAUACCCUGGUAGUCCACGCUGUAAACGAUGAUCACUCGUUGUUCGCAAUACAUCGUGAGCGACUGAGCGAAAGCAUUAAGUGAUCCACCUGGGGAGUACGUCGGCAACGAUGAAACUCAAAGGAAUUGACGGGGGCCCGCACAAGCGGAGGAACAUGUGGUUUAAUUCGAUGAUACGCGAGGAACCUUACCUGGGCUUAAAUGCAGAACGACGUACCGGGAAACUGGUAUUUCCUUCGGGACGGACUGCAAGGUGCUGCAUGGUUGUCGUCAGCUCGUGCCGUGAGGUGUCGGGUUAAGUCCCAUAACGAGCGCAACCCCUAUUGUUAGUUGCCAGCGGAUAAUGCCGGGGACUCUAACGAGACUGCCAUCGUAAGAUGGAGGAAGGUGGGGAUGACGUCAAAUCAGCACGGCCCUUAUGUCCAGGGCUACACACGUGUUACAAUGGUCAGUACAAAGGGCAGCUACCUGGUGACAGGAUGCUAAUCUCAAAAACUGGUCUUAGUUCGGAUCGUAGUCUGCAAUUCGACUACGUGAAGUUGGAUUCGCUAGUAAUCGCGCAUCAGCCAUGGCGCGGUGAAUACGUUCCCGGGCCUUGUACACACCGCCCGUCAAGCCAUGGAAGCCGGGGGUGCCUGAAGUUCGUAACCGCAAGGAGCGACCUAGGGUAAAACUGGUAACUGGGGCUAAGUCGUAACAAGGUA